rnacentral:lncRNA from 1 species
CAGAACGGUAACAGGCCUGAAUGGCAAUGGCGGCUACUAGCGCAGCUACCAUUCGCCGCCAUGCGUCCGUUGACAGGUUGGAAUAGAUGGUGCCAGUGGUAGCAUCCAUCCUUUCACCUGUGUGCGUCGGUGAUGGGGUUUGCGGGUGCGUGGUGAGAGAGGGGGACAGGUGCACGCUAUCAUGAACCAGGCUAAAUUCGUAAUAAUUCGCCCCCCAUGCGCCACAAACCCCACCCAACCUGAAACCCCUUAGUUCCCCAGAUCCAUUUCCACGUCUGAAGGCGGGUUCGUGUGUCGGUUGUGACAGAGCGAGGUGAGCCCGAGCGCGAAGCCCAGCUGGCGCUACAACCUUUGGGUCAAAAGUCAACGAUAGCCGCUGCGGGCCAGGCGCGUGGCCUCGCUGGGUCGCUGGUUGCACCCAGCAUGGCGUUUCGCAAGCUUAACUGGUUUUGGUUGCAAGUUCCUUCGCGGCGAUGCUCCAAUUGCGCCCUAUGCACUGGUUGCAGGUCGUCGGCGGUGUUCCGGCGUCAUGCUUCCGUGGCAAAAUGUAUGAUGCGCUCCGGUC